UACGAAGGGGGCUAGCGUUGCUCGGAAUCACUGGGCGUAAAGCGCACGUAGGCGGCUUGUUAAGUCAGGGGUGAAAUCCUGGAGCUCAACUCCAGAACUGCCUUUGAUACUGGCGAGCUUGAGUUCGGGAGAGGUGAGUGGAACUGCGAGUGUAGAGGUGAAAUUCGUAGAUAUUCGCAAGAACACCAGUGGCGAAGGCGGCUCACUGGCCCGAUACUGACGCUGAGGUGCGAAAGCCAGGGGAGCAAACGGG
rnacentral:rRNA from 1 species